UCGCUGUAGAGGAUGCAAUCACUACGGAUGUAAAUCGUCUGCGGACAACACUUCCGAGAGCGCAAAAACCCCAUGUGGAUUUUUCCGUUGCCUUCCUUCUGACUCUUCCU
rnacentral:snoRNA from 1 species